rnacentral:rRNA from 1 species
UACGGGGGGGGCAAGCGUUGUUCGGAAUUACUGGGCGUAAAGGGCUCGUAGGCGGCCAACUAAGUCAGACGUGAAAUCCCUCGGCUUAACCGGGGAACUGCGUCUGAUACUGGAUGGCUUGAGUUCGGGAGAGGGAUGCGGAAUUCCAGGUGUAGCGGUGAAAUGCGUAGAUAUCUGGAGGAACACCAAUGGCGAAGGCAGCUCGCUGGGACGGUACUGACGCUGAGACGCGAAAGCGUGGGGAGCAAACAGG